rnacentral:tRNA from 1 species
UCCCUGUUCGUAUAACGGCUAGUAUGCUAGCUUGUCACGCUGGAGACCGGAGUUCGAUUCUCCGACAGGGAG